UCGGAUGUGGUGCACGGUGCACGCCAGCUCCCAGUUCAAGUUUUAUUAUUCGCUGAAUGCUGCAGAACAGGGUUCGACUCCCUGCAUCCGAA